GACGAACGCUGGCGGCGCGCCUAACACAUGCAAGUCGAACGAGCGAGAGAGAGCUUGCUUUCUCAAGCGAGUGGCGAACGGGUGAGUAACGCGUGAGGAACCUGCCUCAAAGAGGGGGACAACAGUUGGAAACGACUGCUAAUACCGCAUAAGCCCACGACCCGGCAUCGGGUUGAGGGAAAAGGAGCAAUCCGCUGAUAGAUGGGCUUGCGUCUGAUUAGAUAGUUGGUAAGGUAACGGCUUACCAAGUCGACGAUCAGUAGCCGGACUGAGAGGUUGAACGGCCACAUUGGGACUGAGACACGGCCCAG
rnacentral:rRNA from 1 species